rnacentral:rRNA from 1 species
UACCAGCACCCGAGUGGUCGGGACGAUUAUUGGGCCUAAAGCAUCCGUAGCCGGCCUUACAAGUCCUCCGUUAAAUCCAGCUGCUUAACAGAUGGGCUGCGGAGGAUACUAUAAGACUAGGAGGCAGGAGAGGCAAGCGGUACUCAGUGGGUAGGGGUAAAAUCCGUUGAUCCAUUGAAGACCACCAGUGGCGAAGGCGGCUUGCCAGAAUGCGCUCGACGGUGAGGGAUGAAAGCUGGGGGAGCAAACGG